GAUGAACGCUGGCGGCGUGCCUAAUACAUGCGAGUCGAGCGAACAGACGAGGAGCUUGCUCCUCUGACGUUAGCGGCGGACGGGUGAGUAACACGUGGAUAACCUACCUAUAAGACUGGGAUAACUUCGGGAAACCGGAGCUAAUACCGGAUAACAUGUUGAACCGCAUGGUUCAACAGUGAAAGACGGUCUUGCUGUCACUUAUAGAUGGAUCCGCGCCGCAUUAGCUAGUUGGUAAGGUAACGGCUUACCAAGGCAACGAUGCGUAGCCGACCUGAGAGGGUGAUCGGCCACACUGGAACUGAGACACGGACCAGACUCCUACGGGAGGCAGCAGUAGGGAAUCUUCCGCAAUGGGCGAAAUCCUGACGGAGCAACGCCGCGUGAGUGAAGAAGGUCUUCGGAUCGUAAAACUCUGUUAUUAGGGAAGAACAAAUGUGUAAGUAACUAUGCACGUCUUGACGGUACCUAAUCAGAAAGCCACGGCUAACUACGUG
rnacentral:rRNA from 1 species